rnacentral:rRNA from 1 species
AACGCGGGGCAACCUGGCGACGAGUGGCGAACGGGUGAGUAAUAUAUCGGAACGUGCCCAGUAGUGGGGGAUAGCCCGGCGAAAGCCGGAUUAAUACCGCAUACGACCUACGGGUGAGAGCGGGGGAUCGCAAGACCUCGCGCCAUUGGAGCGGCCGAUAUCAGAUUAGGUAGUUGGUGGGGUAAAGGCCUACCAAGCCGACGAUCUGUAGCUGGUCUGAGAGGACGACCAGCCACACUGGGACUGAGACACGGCCCAGACUCCUACGGGAGGCAGCAGUGGGGAAUUUUGGACAAUGGGCGCAAGCCUGAUCCAGCCAUGCCGCGUGCGGGAAGAAGGCCUUCGGGUUGUAAAGCUCUUUCGGCCGGGAAAAAAUCGCCUGGGUUAAUACCCUGGGUGGAUGAUGGUACCGGAAUAAGAAGCACCGGCUAACUACGUGCCAGCAGCCGCGGUAAUACGUAGGGUGCGAGCGUUAAUCGGAAUUACUGGGCGUAAAGCGUGCGCAGGCGGUUUUGUAAGACAGGCGUGAAAUCCCCGAGCUCAACCUGGGAACUGCGCUUGUGACUGCAAGGCUAGAGUACGGCAGAGGGGGGUGGAAUUCCACGUGUAGCAGUGAAAUGCGUAGAGAUGUGGAGGAACACCAGUGGCGAAGGCGGCUCUCUGGACCAAAACUGACGCUGAGGUACGAAAGCGUGGGUAGCAAACAGGAUUAGAUACCCUGGUAGUCCACGCCGUAAACGAUGUCAACUAGCCGUUGGGUCUUUAAAAAGACUUAGUGGCGCAGCUAACGCAAUAAGUUGA